rnacentral:rRNA from 1 species
UACAUGUCUAGCAUGCGAGUCAUUGCAGCAUACAAGGCAUACGGCUCAGUAACGCGUAGUCAACCUAACCUAUGGACGGGAAUAACCUCGGGAAACUGAGAAUAAUGCCCGAUAGAACACUAUACCUGGAAUGGUUUGUGUUCCAAAUGAUUUAUCGCCAUAGGAUGGGACUGCGGCCUAUCAGUUUGUUGGUGAGGUAAUGGCCCACCAAGACUAUUACAGGUACGGGCUCUGAGAGGAGUAGCCCGGAGAUGGGUACUGAGACACGGACCCAGGCCCUAUGGGGCGCAGCAGGCGAGAAAACUUUGCAAUGUGCGAAAGCACGACAAGGUUAAUCCGAGUGAUUUGUGCUAAACGAAUCUUUUGUUAGUCCUAGAAACACUAACGAAUAAGGGGUGGGCAAGUUCUGGUGUCAGCCGCCGCGGUAAAACCAGCACCUCAAGUGGUCAGGAUGAUUAUUGGGCCUAAAGCAUCCGUAGCCGGCUCUGUAAGUUUUCGGUUAAAUCUGUACGCUUAACGUACAGGCUGCCGGGAAUACUGCAGAGCUAGGGAGUGGGAGAGGUAGACGGUACUCGGUAGGAAGUGGUAAAAUGCUUUGAUCUAUCGGAUGACCACCUGUGGCGAAGGCGGUCUACCAGAACACGUCCGACGGUGAGGGAUGAAAGCUGGGGGAGCAAACCCGGGAUUAGAUACCCGGUAGUCCCAGCUGUAAACUAUGCAACUUCAGUUGAUGCAUACUGGUGCCCAAUGCAGUGCCUGCCAAGGUCAAG